UGCAGUCAGGAUGAACGGUGUGGC
rnacentral:piRNA from 1 species